CGGCAAUGUCGGACCCUUAACCCACUGAGCAAGGGCAGGGACCGAACCCGCAACCUCAUGGUUCCUAGUCAGGUUGUUAACCACUGCGCCACAAUGGGAACUCCCAUCCCUCUCUUCUUAAACCUGGCUGAUUUCACCAAAUUUGUAUAGAGAUCUCUAAUCCAUUAAGUAGAAAUUAAUGAUAAAAGUAUUUUUAAAAAUUCCCACCAAAUCCAUAAGCUGCAUGAAACCUUUUUUCCAUUGAUCUCUUUUUAGUCUCAGUGUGCGUGUAGAAUUCUAAGAUGUCCCCCAAUAACCCAUACCCUUAUAAAAAUCCCCCCCCCAUGGAAUCUCAUUCCUGUGAUUAGGUUACAUUAUAUGGCAAAGGUGAAGGCAUUUUUCAGGUGGAAUUAAAGUACCUAAUAAGUUGAAUUUCAGAUAAUCAAAUAAUCCUGGGGGGAUGUCGCCUAAUCAGGUGAGCCCUUUAAAAGGGUCAGGUGACUGUUAGCAGUGGAUCAUUCGGCUCGUGCGUGGAUGAAGAACGCAGCUAGCUGUGAGAAUCAUUGCAGGACCCAAAAUAAAAUAGGUAAAAGGGUCAGAGGUAAAGAUUCCAGGAUUCUUGACUUGAAGAAGUAAGAUGUCAAGAGUUCUACAACUUCAAGAAAAUGAACUCUUCCAACUAUCUUGUUCUUGGAAGAGGACUCCAAGCCUAAGAGACGCCAGUUCUGACAUGUUGAUUGUAGUCUUGGGAAGCUCUGCGAUGGAGAACUCAGGUAAGCUAUUUGGAACCUGUGAGCCCAUAGAUGGAUGUUGCUGUAAGCUCCUAAAUUUAUGUUAACUUGUGCCGCCACAGAAAACAAAUACACAGUUUUAUCUCGAGAAGUUUGGUUAGCUGUUGCAGAGUGACUAUUUUGUUAUCUGGCUUUAUUGCCAGUCUCUUUCAGUUUGCCACAGCAACAGGAAAAGAAGGGGGAAAAAGGACCCCUUAACACUAAGCUCUAAGCCUGUGUUUUGCAUAUUACAGACAAAAGAGGAGAAAUGGUAUGAAUAUAAAUUCUUACUUUGAUUUUCCAUGAAGAUAGAAAACUUGCCCCAUCUCCAACAAUUCAUUACUGAAUUCUGAUGGUUCUACGUACAAAACACACCCUGAGUCCCUUUUCCCUUUCAAUCUCCAUCCCACCCUAGUUGAAACCACCCUCACUUGUAGCCUAGAUGAUUAUUAACCAGCCUCCUAUCGGGUUUCCCAGCAUCUCCUCUUCUCACUCAUUCCUGACCAGUCCAAAGAGCUAUGAAAAUACUGGGGGGAGGAUUAUGUCCCCCACUUAAAGCCUUUCAAUGGCUUCUCAUUGUCCUUAGGAUAGAAUCCAAAAUGACCUGGGCUCUCCCCAAAAUAAUCCACUUUCCUCUACAGCUAAGUUCUCCAGCCCUGAUGAUACUUUUGUUUUUUAUUCAGGCACAUGUUGUCUCUUGAAACUGGAAUACUCUUUUUUUGGCUCUUACUUAUCCUUCAAGACUUAGCUCAAAAGUCACAUCUUCAGAGGAGCCCCCCUAGACGCUCUGCAGCAGAUGCUACCGAUGCCUGUCUCAUCACCUGUACCCAAUAGCAAACGUCCAUUAGCUACAGCAGGUGUGGCUCCUGCUAAGCGCUCACCCCCCACACCUUUCUCCAGGGUACCUCCUUUGGAUGAUGGGAACUGCCUUGAUGAAAGAUGCCUGGGAGGUUAUUCUUCCCCCCGCAGAGGGUAGCCUUAACCAAUUAUUGAUUGAUAUGAGGGUAAAACAGCUCAGCCCUAUUGCCUUUGAGUGGGACAAAUAUGGGCCUGGAAUCAAGCUUCAGAGCUCCUGGUGGGAUCAGGCUGAGGCUAGAGCUCUCCUGAAACCCGAUCUUUUGCACAGAUGCUCCCCUGCCUUCACUCUGCUGUGUCACCCUCUUAGGGGCCUCUCCUGAGAGCACUCUCAGUGAGUCGCUUGCACAAGCAUCCCCACUUCAGGCUCAGCUUCUUGAGAACUUGCCCUAAGAUCCUUCCAAGAGCAACAACGUUCCCCGUUAUUGUCUCAUGUACACCUUCUUUUCCUUCACUGCACUUCUCAAAAAUAGUAAUUUUAUAUGUUGGUGGGUUGAUUGAAUUGACCUGUUUCCCUAUUAGCCAUGACCUUUGGGAAGGUGGGGGGGCCUGUUUUACCCACCUCUGCAUCCCUAAGAAUAACAUCAUGUCCAGUACCCGGGGGAGCUCAUAGUUGGUGAAUAGGCAAAUGAGUGUCUGUUCAUUGGUGUCUUGUCUUCAAGAUGAAUGUAGCUCCAGUGGAUGGAAUGCCUACAUUGUGCCUUGGCGCAUGACUUCGAAGUUGUGUGCAGCUCUUUUAUGUGUUUCUAAGUGGAAGCACUUAGCAAAUUUGGCUUCAUUAAUUUAUAUUUUUUGCCUCAGGAGGAGGAAGGAGGAGGGGAGAACAUAGAGUGGUUAGUGGUGGUGUUUCUUAAUUCAUGUUGUGAGAUUUGAACAUUGAUCUCACAAUGACCAAAAAGAGAAAUCAAUGGCAGAUGAUUUUUUAAAGUAUAGUUGGUUUACAAUAUUAUGCUACUUUCAGAUGUAAAGUGAUUCAGACGUGUGUGUGUAUAAUAACCAUUAGAGGUUAUUACAAGAUACUGAUUCUAUUUCCUUAUGCUAUAUAGUAAAUCCUUGUUAUUUAUCUAUUUCAUAUACAGUGAUGUGUAAAAUUGAUCCCAUACUCCUAAAUUAUCUCUCCCCCACUUUUUCCCUUUCGGUAAUGAUAAGUUUGUUUCCUGUGUCUGUCAGUCUGCUUCAGUUUCGCAUAUACAAGAUUGAUUUAAGUGAUAGCAUGCAAUAUUUGUCUUUACCUGACUGACUUCACUUAGUAUGAUAAUCUCUUAAGUCCAUUCAUAUUGCUGCAUAUGGCAAUAUUUCAUUCUUAAAAGCUAACAUUCUACUGUAUGUAUGUAUACAUAUAUACAUACAUACACCGCAUCAUCUUUUUUUUGGCCUUGCCUAUAGCAUGCAGAAGUUCCCAGGCCAGGGAUCAAACCCACACCACAGCAGUGAAAACUCUUAACCUGAUGAAUCAC
rnacentral:lncRNA from 9 species